rnacentral:lncRNA from 1 species
GGCUGGGGAGGGAGCAGCAGCUGCUGCUGCUCUGCUGCAGAGGUGUCAGUGGCUGCCCAACCCUCUGCAAUCCCAAGCUGCUCCUGGCACCUGGGGCAGCUCUUCCUUCUCAGCCUGCAGCACCACCUGCUAAGGCACUGCCAAAGGCCUCUCAGCAGCCCAGCCCAGUCCAGUCCAGCCCAGCCCAGCCCAGCCCAGCCCAGCCCAGCCCAGCCCAGAACAGCACAGCACAGCACAGCACAGCCCAGAACAGCACAGCCCAGCACAGCACUGCCCGCGGAGGCAAGGAGAGGCUGCAAGAGAGCUCCGCGGCCCCGGGCUGCACYGGGCGYGCAGGGUGUCUGUGCUGGCAGCGGCGGGGCAGCGUGGGGGCGGCGGUGGGUGGGAGAAAGCGCCUGUGCGCAGCCCUGCGCUGAGCUGUGCCCGGGUGGAGAGAGCCCGUGCGCCGGGCUGCUUUGCGCGAGGAGCCCUGCGGCCCUGCUCUGCCCGUCUGCCACGCCUGCCCUGCCUGCCUSCCUCCCUCCCUCUCGCCGCCUCGGUGCGCGCUGCGUGCCCUGGGCUCCUUGCUGGGCCGUGGCCAGCACAGCGGUGCCCUCCUUGCCUCAGCCACGGCCAGGGCUGCCGGUGGCUCCUCGACUCCGGCCCGGGCCUUUGCCCACCUGCUGCAGCUCCCAGGGCUCCGGGCAAGAGCAGCGGUGCACGUUGCUCCGUGCCUGUGCUCGCCGCCUGCCUGGCUGGGUGGCUUUGGGGAAGAAGGAUGGCUCUCGACGCCCGCCGACUGGUGCCCAGAGGUUUAUUUGCAGCGGCCGGGAGGGGAGCAGGGCGUCGAGCUCAGCGGGGCGCUCGCUAACGGCGCCUGCGGCCCGGCGCCGAGCUCCCUGCUUGCGCGCGGCAGCGGCUCCUCGCCUGGCGCCUCGCGGGCGCUCGCGGCCUCCUCCCGAGGAGGGCGGCGCAUCUGCGCACGGCCUUGCGCAGCGCUCGGAAGGCGCCGCAAGUGCAGCCCGGGCACAGCAGGGAGCCCAGCGGCGCUCUGCAGCCGGCAGCGGCGGCAGCGCG